CCAAUAGCGUAUAUUAAAGUUGUUGCAGUUAAAAAGCUCGUAGUUGAACUUCGGGAUUUACCCAUUGGUCAGGCUUAAUUGUCUGUACUGGUGAGAUAAAUCUCUACCUUCUGAGGAACUUUCAUGUCAUUAAUUUGGUGUGAUUGGAAAUCAGGACUGUUACUUUGAAAAAAUUAGAGUGUUUAAAGCAGGCUAACGUCUGAAUACAUUAGCAUGGAAUAAUGAAAUAGGACGGACUGAUUCUAUUUCGUUGGUUUCUAGGAUCACCGUAAUGAUUAAUAGGGAUAGUUGGGGGCAUUAGUAUUCAAUUGUCAGAGGUGAAAUUCUUGGAUUUAUUGAAGACUAACUACUGCGAAAGCAUUUGCCAAGGAUGUUUUCAUUAAUCAAGAACGAAAGUUAGGGGAUCGAAGACGAUCAGAUACCGUCGUAGUCUUAACCAUAAACUAUGCCGACUAGGGAUCGGACGAAGUUAAUUUUAUAAUGACGCGUUCGGCACCUUACG
rnacentral:rRNA from 1 species